rnacentral:rRNA from 1 species
CCGGGAGGGGAGUGAAAGAGAACCUGAAACCUUAUGUUUACAAACAGUCGAAGUUUUUCGGAACGACGGCGUACUUUUUGUAGAACGGUCCGGCGAGUUGCAGUGACAUGCGAGGUUAAGGAGUACAGCUCCGGAGCCGAAGGGAAACCAAGUCUUAACUGGGCGUCUAGUAUGUUAAUGCAGACCCGAAACCGGGUGACCUAUCCAUGGGCAGGUUGAAGUUACCGUAAAAGGUAAUGGAGGACCGAACUCACAUCUGUUGAAAAAGGUGGAGAUGACCUGUGGAUAGCGGAGAAAUUCCAAUCGAACUCGGAGAUAGCUGGUUCUCCUCGAAAUAGCUUUAGGGCUAGCCUUGAGGUAAAGUCUAAUGGAGGUAAAGCACUGAUUGGACGCGGGUCCCCAAAAGGAUACCAACUUCUAUCAAACUCAGAAUGCCAUAUAGAUAUACUCAGGAGUCAGACUAUGUGAGAUAAGUUUCAUAGUCAAAAGGGAAAGAGCCCAGACCGACAGCUAAGGUCCCAAAGUGUGUGUUAAGUGGAAAAGGAUGUUAGGUUUCUAAGACAACUAGGAUGUUGGCUCAGAAGCAGCCACUCAUUUAAAGAGUGCGUAACAGCUCACUAGUCGAGAGGUCUAGCGCCGAAAAUGUCCGGGGCUAAAACACACCACCGAAGCUACGGAAUUACCUAUGGUAAUUGGUAGAGGAGCAUUCUGUAAGGAUGAAGCACAAUUGAAAGAGAGUGUGGACGAAACAGAAGAGAGAAUGCCGGAAUGAGUAGCGAGAUAUAUGUGAGAAUCAUAUAGGUCGAAUGUCUAAGGUUUCCUGGGUAAAGCUGAUCUGCUCAGGGUAAGUCGGGACCUAAGGUGAGGGCGAGAGCCGUAAUCGAUGGACAACAGGUAGAAAUUCCUGUACUACGUAUAAUCAGAACUGUGGGGACGCAGGAGGAUAGGAAAACCGGAGAAUGGAAAAAUCCGGCUAAGUACAAAGGUGUGAGUGAUAGGCAAAUCCGUCACUAUUAGCUGAAGUACGAAUGGGAGCGAAGAAAAGUAGCGAAGUUUCUGAAUCCACACUGUCAAGAAAAGCCGCUAUUGCGUUAUACGUACCCGUACCGCAAACCGACACAGGUAGACGAGGAGAAAAUCCACAGACCGACGGGAGAAGUGUUGUUAAGGAACUCGGCAAAAUGACCCCGUAACUUAGGGAUAAGGGGAGCCAACGCAAGUUGGUCACAGAAAAGAGGCUCAAGCGACUGUUUAGCAAAAACAUAGGUCUAUGCGAAACCGUAAGGUGAUGUAUAUGGGCUGACACCUGCCCGGUGCUGGAAGGUCAAAAGGAGAGGUUAGCGCAAGCGAAGCCUUGAAUUCAAGCCCCAGUAAACGGCGGCCGUAACUAUAACGGUCCUAAGGUAGCGAAAUUCCUUGUCAGGUAAGUUCUGACCCGCACGAAAGGUGUAACGAUUUGAGCACUGUCUCGACAACACGCCCGGUGAAAUUGAAGAACCAGUGAAGAUACUGGUUACCCGCAACAGGACGGAAAGACCCCAUGGAGCUUUACUGCAGCUUAAUAUUGGGAUUCGGUAUUGUAUGUACAGGAUAGGAGGGAGACUAAGAAGCUAGCACGCCAGUGUUGGUGGAGUCGAUGGUGGGAUACCUCUCUUAUAAUACUGAAUUUCUAACCUACUUCCGUGAUCCGGAAGAGGGACAUUGUUAGGCGGGCAGUUUGACUGGGGCGGUCGCCUCCGAAAGAGUAACGGAGGCGCUCAAAGGUCUUCUCAGAAUGAUUGGAAACCAUUCAAAGAGUGUAAAGGCAAAAGAAGGCUUGACUGCGAGAGUGACAACUCGAGCAGGUACGAAAGUAGGACUUAGUGAUCCGGUGGUAACAAGUGGGAGUGCCAUCGCUCAACGGAUAAAAGCUACCCUGGGGAUAACAGGC